rfam:Lupinus angustifolius cultivar Tanjil contig_50608, whole genome shotgun sequence.
UAUAACCAAAUAUAAUACUUGGACUAAGGGUCAAAUUGGUAAUUUUUCUUACAUCUCCCCCCUGGAGCCCAGGUAUCAUAUAUACCCCAAAAUAAAGAGCAAAGAUU